UGGGGAAUUUUGGACAAUGGGGGAAACCCUGAUCCAGCCAUCCCGCGUGUGCGAUGAAGGCCUUCGGGUUGUAAAGCACUUUUGGCAGGAAAGAAACGUCGCGGGUUAAUACCCCGCGAAACUGACGGUACCUGCAGAAUAAGCACCGGCUAACUACGUGCCAGCAGCCGCGGUAAUACGUAGGGUGCAAGCGUUAAUCGGAAUUACUGGGCGUAAAGCGUGCGCAGGCGGUUCGGAAAGAAAGAUGUGAAAUCCCAGAGCUUAACUUUGGAACUGCAUUUUUAACUACCGGGCUAGAGUGUGUCAGAGGGAGGUGGAAUUCCGCGUGUAGCAGUGAAAUGCGUAGAUAUGCGGAGGAACACCGAUGGCGAAGGCAGCCUCCUGGGAUAACACUGACGCUCAUGCACGAAAGCGUGGGGGAGCAAACAGGAUUAGAUACCCUGGUAGUCCACGCCCUAAACGAUGUCAACUAGCUGUUGGGGCCUUCGGGCCUUGGUAGCGCAGCUAACGCGUGAAGUUGACCGCCUGGGGAGUACGGUCGCAAGAUUAAAACUCAAA
rnacentral:rRNA from 1 species